rnacentral:rRNA from 1 species
GACGAACGCUGGCGGCAUGCCUAACACAUGCAAGUCGAGCGAGCGGCGGACGGGUGAGUAGUGUAUGGGGACUGCCUGAUCGAGGGGGCUAACUAGUGGAAACGGUGGCUAAUACCGCAUACUAUCGGAUAACCCAUAUGGGAUUAGCUAGUAGGGGGGGUAAAGGCUCACCUAGGCGACGAUGUCUAGCUGGUCUGAGAGGAUGAUCAGCCACACUGGGACUGAGACACGGCCCAGACUCCUACGGAGGCAGCAGUGGGGAAUAUUGCACAAUGGGCGCAAGCCUGAUGCAGCCAUGCCGCGUGUAUGAAGAAGGCUUUAGGGUUGUAAAGUACUUUCAUCGGGGAGGCGUUACCCGCCGAAGAAGCACCGGCUAACUCCGUGCCAGCAGCCGCGGUAAUAC